rnacentral:lncRNA from 1 species
UAAAUUACCAUCAAUAUGUAGCAUAUAUACUGCUGAACUUAUAGCAAUUUGGAAGGGCAUUACUUGGUUAACAUCAAAUAAUUUACGAGAUGGAGUAAUACUAACUGAUUCUAACAGAUUUAAAUAUAACAUUUGUAUGGGUCAAAGGUCAUACAGGUAUACUAGGUAAUGAAAAAGCUGAUAGUUUGGCUAAGGAAGCAGUACUUAACGGAGUUCUUUGUAAUAUUUAUACAUUACCAGACGUCUUUCAUUUGAUAAAAAAUAAAAUAAGAUUAAAAUGGGAACGACAGUGGGAAAAUACUGUAGAAAACUCACAAAAUACCUACUUUAAAAUACAUCCUACCCUACCAUCCCCACCUCUAUAUAUUUUCAACUACCCUACUUCAAAAUUCUUUUCGGCAAGUGUUUUUCGACUUAAAACAAAUCAUGGGCGAUUUCCAUCGCACCUUGCUAAGCUGGGCAUUAUACAGUCCUCGGCCUGUAGUUGUGAUCAGAACUCUUACGGAGAUCUAAAUCAUAUAUUUUUCGGUUGCAAAAAA